CCUACGGGUGGCAGCAGUGGGGAAUAUUGGACAAUGGGGGCAACCCUGAUCCAGCCAUGCCGCGUGUGUGAAGAAGGCCCUCGGGUUGUAAAGCACUUUCAGUGAGGAAGAACGCCUGGUGGUUAAUACCCAUCAGGAAAGACAUCACUCACAGAAGAAGCACCGGCUAACUCCGUGCCAGCAGCCGCGGUAAUACGGAGGGUGCGAGCGUUAAUCGGAAUUACUGGGCGUAAAGCGCGCGUAGGUGGCUUGAUAAGCCGGUUGUGAAAGCCCCGGGCUCAACCUGGGAACGGCAUCCGGAACUGUCAAGCUAGAGUGCGGGAGAGGAAGGUAGAAUUCCCGGUGUAGCGGUGAAAUGCGUAGAGAUCGGGAGGAACACCAGUGGCGAAGGCGGCCUUCUGGACUGACACUGACACUGAGGUGCGAAAGCGUGGGUAGCAAACAGGAUUAGAUACCCGAGUAGUC
rnacentral:rRNA from 1 species